UACUUCUGGCAGAAGCCCCGUUGUCGCCGGAGCAUUGUGAUGUGUAAUGGACAAUACUUAAAAGUCGUUACAAAGGCAGAUUAAUGCUCCGUACCUGUCUGCGGGCUGAUCCAGUGUCUCAGAGCAGGAAGGUCUCCGUCCUCCGCUGCUUCAUCACACUGAUGAUGCUGCUGAUGAUGAAGAGGAUGAUGAUGAUGAUGAUGGUGAUGAUGAUGCGGGCUGUUGUGGGCGACAGGCAGAGGGGUGCGCAGGACUCCCGGUGAAGUUGCCGCUGGCGUCUAAGUGUUCGGAGACUGCGCAGUAGAGCGGGACCGGUGCUGCCUUCACGGACUGUCAGAAAGUUUCAAUCUACCAGAGAUUCAGGAUAUUCUUCGACGGGAGACGAUCCUUGAGGGCGUGGUCUCUCUUCCUCUGUGAACGCAGGUGGCUCAUCAGAUAUCUGUGUGGACAUGAGCUGCGACUACAAACACAGCAGGAGGGAAGCAGGAGAAGUGCGGAGGUGCCUGACAUCCACUAUGAUGACAUCUUGAAACACUCCCCCGUACCCUGCAGACACACCCAGUGCUCAAUGCAGUUUGAGCUGCAUUUACCACAUUCGUGAAGUGGAUUCAAGGCUGAAAGGUUGCUGGUUCAAAUCCCUGGACAUACAGCUGCAGAGGGUGUUUGUUCUGUGAGUGUGUGCUGAGUCAGCCUGCUAGAUGGAGGGUUUCCAAACCAGAGCAAACCAGAGCCCAGCUUUACUGCGCUGCAGCAGACAAAUGUCUGCCUGCAGAGAAACAUUAACCCGGAGUGAGACACCACAGCACUCUGCUGGGCCGCAGGCAGACAUUUAUACUGGACAUCCAGUUUCACUGUGCUCAGUGUCAUCACAGACAGACAGAUGGAUGGAUAGAUGGAUAUGGAUGGCUGUAUAGACAGACAGACAGAUAGAUAGAUAGAUAGAUAGAUAGCACUGCAAUGUAACAUAGGUGUGGCUAUAGAAUCAGACACGCUCUGUUCAUGCGUUUAAAUGGCAGCACCAGCAGUGCUUGUGUGCAGCAGUGCACGUGUUGCUCCUCCUCAUGUGGCCACUCCCUGAAUUCCAGCACUAGAUUCCUCUGUCCAACAUCAUCUACUGCAACUCUGCUUCUGUGUCAGACUCACAAAGUUACGGUAAGAGAAAAAUGGCACUGCAACAACACGCAUGCUGUAAAGUAAUGGAGGGAAAAUAGAUUUCCUGAAUUUCCAAACAUAUUGUCACAUUUUGCCUAUUUGUGUUUAGUUAUUUUUUCCCCUGAUUCAAAGCCUAAAUAGAAUAGAAAGCCUUUAGCGUCAUUGUACAUUUUAAAACCAA